CAUACCACUUGUUGCCUCGGCGGAUCAGCCCGCUCCCGGUAAAACGGGACGGCCCGCCAGAGGUCCCCUAAACUCUGUUUCUAUAUGUAACUUCUGAGUAAAACCAUAAAUAAAUCAAAACUUUCAACAACGGAUCUCUUGGUUCUGGCAUCGAUGAAGAACGCAGCAAAAUGCGAUAAGUAAUGUGAAUUGCAGAAUUCAGUGAAUCAUCGAAUCUUUGAACGCACAUUGCGCCCGCCAGUAUUCUGGCGGGCAUGCCUGUUCGAGCGUCAUUUCAACCCUCAAGCACAGCUUGGUGUUGGGACUCGCGUUAAUUCGCGUUCCUCAAAUUGAUUGGCGGUCACGUCGAGCUUCCAUAGCGUAGUAGUAAAACCCUCGUUACUGGUAAUCGUCGCGGCCACGCCGUUAAACCCCAACUUCUGAAUGUUGACCUCGGAUCAGGUAGGAAUACCCGCUGAACUUAAGCUUAA
rnacentral:rRNA from 1 species